ACCCGCCAGAAAGUCACGCUACUACGUGCCAGCAGCGCGUAUACGUAGGUGGCAGCGUAUCCGGAAUGAUUGGGCGUAAAGGGUGCGCAGGCGGCGGUUCAAGUCUGAAGUGAAAGGUGUGAGCUUAACUUGCACAGGCUUUGGAAACUGGACUGCUUGAGGACAGGAGAGGGCGGCGGAACUCCAUGUGUAGCGGUAAAAUGCGUAGAUAUAUGGAAGAACACCAGUGGCGAAGGCGGCCGCCUGGACUGUGCCUGACGCUGAGGCACGAAAGCGUGGGGAGCAAAUAGGAUUAGAUACCCUAGUAGUCCACGCUGUAAACGAUGAGGAGCAGGUGUCGGGGGUAGAGCCCCGGUGCCGAAGCAAACGCAGUGACUCCUCCGCCUGGGGAGUAUGCACGCAAGUGUGAAACUCAAAGGAAUUGACGGGGGCCCGCACAAGCGGUGGAGUAUGUGGUUUAAUUCGAAGCAACGCGAAGAACCUUACCAGGCCUUGACAUGGGAUGCGAAGUCAUAGAGAUAUGGCGGAGGUUAUCAUCCACACAGGUGGUGCAUGGUUGUCGUCAGCUCGUGUCGUGAGAUGUUCAGUUAAGUCUGGCAACGAGCGCAACCCUUGUGAUAUGUUGCUACCAUUGAGUUGAGGACUCAUAUCAGACUGCCGGUGACAAACCGGAGGAAGGCGGGGAUGACGUCAAAUCAUCAUGCCCCUUAUGGCCUGGGCUACACACGUACUGCAAUGGCGUCUACAGAGGGAAGCGAAGCUGUAAAGCAGAGCGAAUCUCAGAAAAGGCGUCCCAGUUCGGAUUGAAGUCUGCAACCCGACUUCAUGAAGUUGGAAUCGCUAGUAAUCGCGGAUCAGCAUGCCGCGGUGAAUACGUUCUCGGGCCUUGUACACACCGCCCGUCAAACCAUGGAAGCCGGCAACGCCCGAAGCCGGCGGCAUAACCUGAAG
rnacentral:rRNA from 1 species